AUGCAAUAGGGAUAGUAGUGGAAAUCCUUUUUUGCAAAAAAAGAUUGCAACGGAUAGCCCGGCUCUGC
rnacentral:sRNA from 1 species